rnacentral:rRNA from 1 species
UCGAACGAAGCGCUUAAAUGGAUUUCUUCGGAUUGAAGUUUUUGUGACUGAGUGGCGGACGGGUGAGUAACGCGUGGGUAACCUGCCUCAUACAGGGGGAUAACAGUUAGAAAUGACUGCUAAUACCGCAUAAGCGCACAGUGCUGCAUGGCACAGUGUGAAAAACUCCGGUGGUAUGAGAUGGACCCGCGUCUGAUUAGCUAGUUGGUGGGGUAACGGCCUACCAAGGCGACGAUCAGUAGCCGGCCUGAGAGGGUGAACGGCCACAUUGGGACUGAGACACGGCCCAAACUCCUACGGGAGGCAGCAGUGGGGAAUAUUGCACAAUGGGGGAAAGCCUGAUGCAGCGACGCCGCGUGAGUGAAGAAGUAUUUCGGUAUGUAAAGCUCUAUCAGCAGGGAAGAAAAUGACGGUACCUGACUAAGAAGCCCCGGCUAACUACGUGCCAGCAGCCGCGGUAAUACGUAGGGGGCAAGCGUUAUCCGGAUUUACUGGGUGUAAAGGGAGCGUAGACGGCGAAGCAAGUCUGAAGUGAAAACCCAGGGCUCAACCCUGGGACUGCUUUGGAAACUGUUUUGCUAGAGUGUCGGAGAGGCAAGUGGAAUUCCUAGUGUAGCGGUGAAAUGCGUAGAUAUUAGGAGGAACACCAGUGGCGAAGGCGGCUUACUGGACGAUAACUGACGUUGAGGCUCGAAAGCGUGGGGAGCAAACAGG